rnacentral:rRNA from 1 species
CCUACGGGUGGCAGCAGUGGGGAAUAUUUGGCAAUGGAGGAAACUCUGACCCAGCAACGCCGCGUGAGUGAUUAAGGUCUUCGGAUUGGAAAGUUCUUGUCUAGUGGAAGAAGAAAGUGACGGUACCUUAAGAAUAAGCCUCGGCUAACUACGUGGCAGCAGCCGCGGUAAUACGUAGGAGGCAAGCGUUAUCCGGAGGGACGGGGCGGAAAGGGGGCGGAGGUGGUUUGACAAGUUGGUAGCGUAACUCCGGGGCUCAACCUAGGCACUACUCACAAAACUGUCGGACUUGAGUGCAGGAGGGGCAAAUGGAAUUCCUAGUGUAGCGGUGGAAUGCGUAGAUAUUAGGAGGAACACCAGUGGCGAAGGCGAUUUGCUGGACUGUAACUGACGCUGAGGCACGAAAGCGUGGGGAGCAAACAGGAUUAGAUACCCUAGUAGUC